UUCAACGAGAAAUACAUUUUCCAAACACAUAAGAGAAAGGGACAUAAUUCAUUACAUAAGUCUAAAGACAUGUUCCAAACACAUACAAGAAUGUCAUUACAUAUAACCAAACCUGUAACUAAAACCUUCCAUACGGAUUUUUUUUGGUCCAUGAGACUAAGACGACCACAUUCUUACCACACCAGCGUUGUGUUGGUAUGCCUUUCAUUGUUCUCCUCUGUGGCAACGGAGAAAAGGCUGAGCUAGUCAUGAUUUGAUGGAAAAGUUUUUCGUCACUGUCU
rnacentral:lncRNA from 1 species